UCCUUAGUACCGCCCCUUUGCUUCAGGGAGAUGGCUGCUGCUCAUACCGCUGGCUGCUACCUGGGCGUCGAUUUGAGCACCCAACAGAUGAAAGCCAUGGCCAUUGAUGAUAAUCUGAAUGUGAUCCAUGAGACUAAUGUAAAGUUUGAUGAGGAUUUGCCAGAAUUUGGAACUCAGGGUGGUGUCCACGUACAUGAUGACAAGCUGACUGUUACAACACCAGUGCUACUGUGGGUAAAGGCCCUGGAUAUACUUCUAGAAAGGAUGAAAACCUCAAACUUUGAUUUUUCUAAAUUGAAAUCCUUGUCUGGCACUGGUCAACAACAUGGUAGUGUUUAUUGGAAAGAGGGAGCCAAACAGACCUUGAAUAAUAUGUCCAGCGAUCAUUCCCUGUAUCAGAUAUUGGAGUCUAGUUUUGCUGUAAAAGACUCUCCUAUCUGGAUGGACUCCAGUACCACUGCAGAAUGCCAGCAACUAGAAAAGUCUGUUGGAGGGCCACAGAAACUUGCUGACAUCACCGGAUCACGUGCUUACGAGCGCUUCACGGGAAAUCAAGUUGCAAAGGUUAACAAAAAGAACCCUGAAGAUUACAAGAGAACUGAGAGAAUCUCUCUCGUUAGUAGUUUUGUUGCUUCCCUAUUUCUUGGAGACUAUGCUGCAAUUGAUUAUAGUGAUGGUUCUGGUAUGAAUUUGAUGGAUAUCCAUGCACAUGAGUGGUCACAGCAGUGCCUUGAUGCGUGUGCACCCGGUCUGAAGGAGAAGCUUGGUGUUCCACUCCCAUCACACACUAUUCUGGGUUCAGUUUCUCCAUACUAUGUAAAACGCUUUGGAUUCAGUUCUGAGUGUAAAGUUAUUGCUUUUACAGGUGACAAUCCAGCAUCACUGGCAGGAAUGAGACUUCACCAAGGGGAUAUAGCAGUAAGCCUUGGGACAAGUGAUACUGCCUUUCUCUGGAUCCAGGAUCCUAAACCCACCUUAGAAGGACAUGUCUUCUGUAAUCCUGUUGACAGCAGUGCCUACAUGGCACUCAUAUGUUUUAAGAAUGGCUCCUUGACGAGAGAGAAGGUCCGUGAUGAAAGGGCUUCUCGUUCGUGGGAUGAAUUUGCAAAAGUACUGAAAACCACUUGUCCUGGAAAUAAUGGAAAUUUAGGAUUUUAUUUUGAUGUGAUGGAGAUCACCCCAGCUGUAGUAGGUAUUCAUCGAUUCAAUUCCAAAAACUGCAGGGUUUCCGAGUUUCCCAAAGAUGUGGAGGUCCGGGCAGUGAUAGAGGGACAAAUGCUGGCUAAAAGGGCAUAUGCUGAGAAGCUGGGCUUCAAAGUCUUGAAGGGAACCAGAGUACUGGCAACGGGAGGGGCUUCUUCAAACCCAGAUAUACUAAAGGUCUUGGCAGAUGUUUUCAAUGCCCCAGUGUACACAAUAGACACAGCUAAUUCAGCCUGCCUGGGAUGCGCUUACAGAGCAAAACACGGAGUGCAAGCAGCAUCAGGACAGCCCUUUGCUGACACUGUGAAAAUGGCACCAGCACCAAAGCUAGCAGUCAACCCAACCUGUGAAAUAGAUAAGGCCAGUUUGACACAGUUAACUUGAAGAUAGAGGUUGAAGAUCAAACAUCAAAGUUCAUAUAGCAUUCUCCACAUGUGUGAAACCUGCCAAUGGAAUCAUCAGUUAUAAAUGCAAUUUUUCUAGAGAUCGGACAACUGAGUUUUACAAGCUGGUAAAUAACUUUCUGUGUGUCUGGUAUAUGGACCAAUGCUGGCACGAUAUUUGGAACUAGAAAAGUUGGUGCGGAAUGGCUGCUGAUCAACGAAAAACAUCAAUAUGAAUGCCAGAAUUUUCUGCCCCUGAUACCUGUACUGCCUCUUUGCGAUAGCUAUUUUAGUCCCAUACAACAUAAUGGAAAUUAUUCUUUGUUAAGUGCAAAUCCAUUUGCCUUUUAAAAAUUUCUGUGACAUUUGAUUCACCACACUUUUAGGUACUGUGUUCUAGAUCUUAAUAGUCUUCUGCAUAAAGGCAUUUCUUCUAGUUCUUCCCUUCAAUGCAUUUACCUUAAUUCUAGGAUCUUUGGCUGCCACUUUAAUUGUUUGAGAAUUCUUGAGUUUUGUUUUUCUUUAUCAAAACUUGGUGUAAUUUUGAUUUUAAAAAAUUACGUCUCCCUUUAUCUUUUCUGCUCAAAAGGAGAAUAGUAGAAAUUUGUCCGUUCUCUUGAUAGAACCCUGUCUCCUGCCUGAUACCAUCCUGCUAAACCUUUCUCAUCUACAGGACUUAUAAAUCCUGCCUUGAUGUGGUGGUGCAGAAUUGUACAUAUUUCUCCAACUGAAGCCGAAUAUAAAAAUUUGUUUAGAUUUGGAAUGACUUACUCAUUUUUAUAUUCAGUGCUCCUAAUGGCAAAACCUAGAACCCUAGAAAUUUUUGAACCACAGAUAUCAACACUUUGAUUUGUUAAUAUGCAUCUCCAGGUUCCUUUGUUCCCACACCUCCCUCAAAAUAGUAUCAUUAAGAUUAUACAUCCUCUCCAUGUUUCUUGUACAGUAUCUGGCAGUUAAAACACGAAGUCCCAUAGCCUAUUUCACCAGUCAGUUCACUUCCCUGAAAUCUGCAGUUGCACUGCUCACUAGUUACUAUAUUAUCAAGUUUCGUAUCAUCUGCGAACUUCAAAAUCAGGUUCCCUGUACCCAGAUAUAGGUUAUUAAGCUGUAGCAAAUUGAUUGACAGAAUGCUGAUUCAUUAUAGUUCAUAAAGAAUUCAACUCAAACAUUUUUAGAUCAGAAGGGCGGCACGGUGGCGCCGUGGUUAGCACUGCUGCCUCACAGCGCCGGGGAUCUGUGUUUGAUUCCACCCUCGGGUGACUGUCUGUGUGGAGUUUGCACAUUCUCCCUGUGUCUGCGAGCGUUUCCUCCGGGUGCUCCGGUUUCCUCCCACUGUCCAAAGACAUGUGGGUAAGUGGCCAUGCUAAAUUGCCCCGUAGUGCCCAGAGAUGUGUUGGUUAGAUGGAUUGGCCAAUGGGAAAUGCAUUGUUGGGGUAGGGGGCUGGGUCUGAGUGGGAUGCUGUUCCAGUGGUUGGUGUGGAAUCGAUGGGCUGAAUGGCUUGCUUCCACUCUGUAGGGAUUCUAUGAUUCAGAAGAAAUAAAGUCAAUUUCUGCAAAUGGCAUAUUUUUACCUCGUAGUGCCUCGUGUUUUCUCAUAUUUUCUUGGUCUGCUCAUUUUGGAGUUCCCAUACUUCCGAGGAAGAAGCAGAGACCCAUUCUCCUCUCCCUCCACUGUUGAAGUGAUUAGCUUGUGUCAUAGGAAUCUUUAUAUGGUUCCACUAUGCAUUGGACCGGGGAGCAAGUGAGUUCUAUUCAGAAUGGUGUGACUCCAGGGACACAGCAGUAGAGUGCCAGAAUUUUUGCUCCAUGCACAAGGCAGUUCAAUAUUAACAUAAAUCUUAAUUUUCCAGUCUCCAAUACCAUGUUGUUUGAAAAUUCAGGGGAACCUGCCCACCACAAGGGAUUGGGUGCCAAAAUUCUCCAUGACCUUGGCCCCUUAGAAAUUAAGAGCAACCAGUCAAAGUUUUUUAAAAUAUAGUUUCUGAUUUUAACGUUUCAGGGAAGGCCCUUGGUCUGGACCCCUUGUUAGGGUUAUUAGCCAGAAAGCCAAGAGAAAUACACAGGUUUCCAAAUGAAUUAGGCUGACAUGGAGUCCAGAUAUAAAGUACUACCAGGUCUGGCUGAAGACAUUUCCCAACCAACCCCUCACCCCUGCCCAAGAUGGUAGUCCUACUAUACGAAACUGAGUUGAAUGGCAGAAUGUUAAAAUCCUGAAAAGCAGAAACCAGUAUGAGCAGGACCGGAGGAUCUGUUUCCAUGCUGAUUGUCUCUAUGACUCUAAUGCUGUAAAAGUAGGAUUGGGAACAGGCCAUGCAGGAUUGUUUGAAAAAGAUCAAGAGUUCUAGCCUUGAGAUCCUGGGGAACAAAUACAGAGAGACUUGACAUGAGUUCAUGGCGUUGAUUAAUGCAGUGAUGAGGCAAUAAGGAGGAAGAGAAAAGUUAAAAAUGAUGAGUGAGAGAUUGAAUACUAAAUGUGCAAAGGAGUCACUUGUCAAAAGUCAGACUGUAACUUCUGCCUUGGAGAAGCUCAUCAUCUGGUAAAUGUUCCCUGCAGGAACUUGAAAGAAGUGUUUAGAAAUCUUGUUAAACUUGGGAGGAAUAUUCCAGUGGAUGUGAAUUUUAUAGAAAAAAGAGUUUUUAAGAGUUAUUAAGUUGUUUGUUACAGAAGCAGAAUAGGUUUCUUUAAAUACACAAAUGAUUGCAUUUAUGAUCAAAGAGAUGAUAGAUUUACUUCUACUACAAUACAGCUGGAUAUAGAGUUAUAGAGCACAAAAACAGACCCUUCAGUCCAAUCUGUGCAUACUAACCAGAUAUCCUAAACUAAUCUAGACCCCUUUUCCAUGUAUAUCAGCACGAAGCUUGCAUGUUAGCUGGACCGAAUGUUGGAUCUCAUGCAGGAAGUGAAUCUGACUUAGGAAACAGUUCGGAAGGGCUCAACCAGAGAGAAAGUGUCCUCUCAGGUUUUGGGAUGCUCCACUGGGGACCUUGGUGGAAGAAAGGGAGAGAUAUCCUCCAUCCAUUGAGGGGAAGGAAAUCCUCCAGAUACACAUUGAUUUGGAAUGUACAUUUGCGAUUGUGUUUAUUUUUGCAUUAUGUCCAAGAUGAAGUUUGAUAGUCAAUGGUUGGAGGAAGCUUAGGUGUGAUAUUGCUGGUAAAUGAAGAGGGUGGUUUGCAACUUUUGCUGUCACAUUCAAAUUAGUUCUUCACGGAAUGACUGGGCAAAAGUGGGCUGGUAAUCUUCCCACUUUCACUUCCUCCUUUUUCCUUUAUUUCCCCUUUCUUCCUUCCUCUCCCGAACAGCAUUCCUUGUCCUACAUGAUCUCUGUUCAUUGUCCUUGUCAUACUAUAUUCUGAGGGGAAUGCCUAUUAGUGCAACCACACCUGGGAACAACUGGUUUGUGCAGAAGCCACAGAUUUCAAGAGAAUGCCCUACAUCACUAGUCAUAGCAUCUCUGUAGACAUUUACAUGUUGAAAGAAGUAAAGAUUUCACCACACAUUUGCCAAAUCAUUGCAUUGGCCAAGAGAGGGUUAAGCCCUUAUUACACUGUAAAGAGUUAUGAUCUCCUUCUGUAGCAGUUGUUAGGGAAUCUUUACCAAUCUAGAAUGCAUAAUCAACAAUAGGAGCUGAAGUGAACUUAUUGGCUGGCUCAUUAAAAUCAAUAUGGUCUUGUUGCCAUUGAAUUAGGGUUGCAAGCUGUUAUGAUUUCAGAAGAAGGAAGAAGAAGCGUGGUGGUUUGUGAUGCAGAGUGAUGCCAACAAUGUGGAGUCAAUUCCUCUACCAGCUGAGUUUACUAUGAAAGCUUUACCUUCUCAACCUCGCCUGAUGCAUGGUGACCUCAGGUUAAACUCACCAGCAGUCCUUCUGUGAUGAGAGAGCAGCCCUGUGGUCCUCUGGGACUCUGGCAACUACUGAUCAUGGUAGAUACAAGCUCUAGAUUGAUGUGUUUUGCAGGUUGUGGAUAAAGCUGUAAUAAUUUGUUACAGGAAUAUGAAACAAAUUAUAUCACAUUUAUAAAUAAA